ACAAACUCAAUCUCAUUACAAGAGGAACCAUCACAUAUUUCACGUUUCAAGACCAUUCCAUUUCAAACCAUGUUUCCGUACGCGAUACUUUCCAUGAUCAAGUCAUGUUUGAUACAUAUCCAAGAGAUUCAUGCUACAUCAUUCAAAGAAAACUAUACAAAUAGAAAAUCAUUUUACUUCAAAGUCACUCCAAUAUACCAUUCCAAAUAUAUAGAAAAUCAUACAAAGAAAAAAUAUGUCCUUAACUUAUUGCUCCUAAUCAUAAGUCUCAUUUUCUUCCUAAGGCAUAUCAUCCAAGGAUUGCCAAGAACUCAAUCUUUGUUCCUUAAAGUUUUAGAACUUAUCCAUGCUUCAAUUCAACCGAAAUCUCCACAAACCAAUAAAUAA